rnacentral:rRNA from 1 species
UACGUAGGGACCAAGCGUUGUUCGGAUUUACUGGGCGUAAAGGGCGCGUAGGCGGCGCGGUAAGUCACUUGUGAAAUCUCUGAGCUUAACUCAGAACGGCCAAGUGAUACUGCAGUGCUAGAGUGUGGAAGGGGCAAUCGGAAUUCUUGGUGUAGCGGUGAAAUGGCGUAGAUAUCAAGAGGAACACCUGCGGCGAAGGCGGAUCUCUGGGCCAUUACUGACGCUGAGGAGCGAAAGCGUGGGGAGCGAACAGG